rnacentral:rRNA from 1 species
AGUAAGGGCGACUGAAACGGGAUGAGCCCAGCGCAUAACGUCUUUCACUUAGGAAGGUGUCAGAUGGGUGUUGCGUAUCGGAGGGGUCUGGCACGGCCGGCCUUCCCGCCUAAGUUUUGACUUGAACGUUUCUCUAACCCAUGGAGGGUGAGAGGCCCGUGUGGCGGAUCCUGUCCCGAAUGGGAAGAUGUGCUGGCCGGAAAGGGCUCCUCCGUUGAGUCGGGUUGCUUAAUAUCGCAGCCCUAAGACAGGUGGUAAACUCCAUCUAAGGCUAAAUAUGACCACGAGACCGAUAGCGAACAAGUACCGUGAGGGAAAGUUGAAAAGGACUUUGAAGAGAGAGUUCAAGAGUACGUGAAACCGUUAAGAGGUAAACGGAUGGACGCCAGAAGGUCGACUAGGCGGAUUCAGCGAGCGAGAGACCGGGCCCAUCUUGUGUUUGGACUGUUGUACUGGGUUUGUCGUCCGGUGCAUGGCCAUUCACUUGUUGGGAUUCCGGCCCGGCUUGCGGAGUUCUGCCUUGGUAGGUCGUCGCGACCCGUUGACUGGACGUUAGGCCCGUUUGGAUUGGUAGCUCUGUAGGAGCGAUGCUUGAUCGAGGUCGCACUCGGUCGCCUGUGUCGUUUCUCAGGGUGAAACCUGCGGUGCAUCCUUUCAGCCGGUCGACGGAGUUCUCCCUGGGGCUACGGCUCUCGCGGCGUAACUCAGUCGGCGUUCCAUCCGCCCCGUCUUGAAACACGGACCAAGGAGUCUAGCAUGUGCGCGAGCCAAAGGGUGUACUAAACCUGUAGGCGCAAUGAAAGUGAACUUCACUGAUUGGCUUUGACGAGUAGUAGAUUCCUCGAGUGGUGUUUCCCUUUGUCGUCGGCUUGGGCGAUUUUGGGGAGGACUUGCUUGGGGUUUUGAAGGCCGUCUGUAAUUGCCUUUUGGGUUGAUCCCUGCAUCUGAUCGUUGGGGCGCAAACCCCGGACUUGCAAAUUGUAUGCAAUAACUUGUUAUUCGGCUUUUUCCUUGAUUGAGGUUGCUGGUAGUGUUUUUGUGGGCAAGUACCGUGAGUGUACAUGCUAGGACCCGAAAGAUGGUGAACUAUGCCUGGCCAGGGUGAAGCCAGAGGAAACUCUGGUGGAGGCUCGAAGCGAUUCUGACGUGCAAAUCGAUCGUCGGAGCUGGGUAUAGGGGCGAAAGACUAAUCGAACCAUCUAGUAGCUGGUUCCCUCCGAAGUUUCCCUCAGGAUAGCUGGCGGUCGCCUUGAGAGAAUUUCACCUGGUAAAGCUAAUGAUUAGAGGUGUUGGGGACGAAACGUCCUCAACCUAUUCUCAAACUUUAAAUGGGUGAGAGACCAGACUUGCUUGAAUUGUUCGCGUACUCUUGUGGGUGCGUCGAGCCCUUUUUGGAAGUGAAGUGCUGGUGUAUGUGAAAUCUCUGACUGCCCAGUGGNNNNNNNNGGUAAGCAGAACUGGUGCUGUGGGAUGAACCAAACGUUCAGUUAAGGGGCCUAAGUGAAUGCUCAUUCAGAUCCCAUGGAAAGGUGUUGCUUGCUACAGACAGCAGGACGGUGGCCAUGGAAGUUGGAAUCCGCUAAGGAGUGUGUAACAACUCACCUGCCGAAGCAAGUAGCCCUGAAAAUGGUAUGGCGCUCAAGCAUUCCCCCGAUACUGGACCGCCGGGACACUACAGACUGCAUGGGAGGUCUCGAAGUCCCGGUGAGUAGGAGGGCGCGACGGUGAGCAGUGAAGCGUCCGCCGUGAGGUGACGUGGAGCCGCCGUUGGUGAAGAUCUUGGUGGUAGUAGCAAAUAUUCGAGAGAGACUACCUGGAAGGCCGAUGUGGGGCAGGGUUCCGUGUGAACAUCAGUUGGACACGGGUUAGUCAGUCCUAAGUCCAAGGCGAAAGCCUUACGCCGAUGUGAUGGCAGUUGGCCAACCGAGUAUUUUCAAAGGUGCGUGUGGAAAGCAGUACGGCGCCCAAUGAUGACUCGCGAGGCGCGAAGCUCGCCUCCCACAAACGCUCACGCAACAGCACGACACUUUGGCAUGGGGUGUGUGUUUUUGAGGUGACUACUACUCUUCCUAAGAGAGAGAGAAUAAUAAGAGAGUGACCACCACAGGUGAGGUGGUGACUGUUGUUGAAUUGGUGUCGUGCUGCGGCGAAGCUGUUCUUGUCGGCGAUUCGUGGCGAAAGGGAAUACGGUUAAGAUUCCGUAACCUGGCCCGGAACACAGGUUGGUCGCUGUUUCCCAUUUGAUGCUCGGGCAUGUUCUGGCUUGUGCUGGGAUGUGUUUUGGGUUGAUGUGGGAGUCAUGCAGUGGCCAAUCCAGGAGAGACGAGGUAACUUGAGCCCGCUCGUGUCCGCCGGCGGCAGACCGGGAAAGAGUUUUCUUUUCUGUUUUAGGCGCCGUUACCCUGGAAGCGUGUCGCUCUGAGAAAGGGUGGAAGCAUACGGUUGCCGUAGAGCGCAGCGGUUCUUGCUGCGCCCCGCGCUCUGCCGUUCGGUCCUUGAAGAUGCGUGUGAGGUGACUCCUAGGAGAAAGGUUAUCAAGGCUGUUGGUUGUCCUGAAAUGCCAACAGGCGACCCUCAGCUACCGAGUAUCCAUUUUUCGGGCGAGCCUGUACCUAUAACCGC